GGCCAGGGCCACAGGCUGUGUUGUAUACUGACUGCACAGAAAGAGAAGGCAGAGUAAACCUACCCCACACACAGCUCAGCCCAGGCCCUUCGCCUGGUCUGUAUUGUGAAGAGGGGAAACAGAG
rnacentral:snoRNA from 1 species